GAGAAAUAUGGCCUGUGAUAAGAGAACUUCUGAAAAUGAAAGAGUUUGUGGAACCCAAGCUCAAGGAAGUUGAAGAUAGAGCUACUACUUCACAAGAUGAGAUCUUUAAUAAACUCUGGCCUCAUAUCAAUAUAAUGAACACCAAGUAUGAUGAGCAAUUCAUUGUAAAUAUCAAGAACAUUGAGAGUAAGUACGAUACUGAGCUCUUUGAAAAACUUUGGCCUUUCAUCAAGGAGAUGGAUAAUGAAUUCAAGAAUGAGAUCCAUAAGAACCUGGCUCCCAAAUUGAAGGAUCUUGAACCUAAAUUAAAUGAUGUUCAAGAUAAGGUAGAAAAAUUCACCCCCAUGAUGAAGAACGUAGAACAGAAGAUUGAUGAUCUCAACCCUAAACUGAAAGAAUUUGAGGAUAAGGUGGAGAAAAUCAAUCCCAAGUUGAAGGAUGUUGAAAUAACUGUCGAAAAUCUGAAGCCUCAAUUGAUGGAAGUCGAGAAUACAGCAACGACAUCACACAAAGAAAUCUUUGAAAAAUUAUGGCCUGCAAUUCAAGAACUUUUAGAAAGCAAAAAGUUUGUGGAACCCAAAUUGAAAGACUUGGAACCCAAGCUCAAGGAAGUCGAAGAUAGAGCUACUACUUCACAAGAUGAGAUCUUUAACAAACUCUGGCCUCAUAUCAAUGGAAUGAACACCAAGUAUGAUGAGCAAUUCAUUUUAAAUAUCAAGAACAUUGAGAGUAAGUACGAUACUGAGCUCUUUGAAAAACUUUGGCCUUUCAUCAAGGAGAUGGAUAAUGAAUUCAAGAAUGAGAUCCAUAAGAACCUGGCUCCCAAAUUGAAGGAUCUUGAACCUAAAUUAAAUGAUGUUCAAGAUAAGGUAGAAAAAUUCACCCCCAUGAUGAAGAACGUAGAACAGAAGAUUGAUGAUCUCAACCCUAAACUGAAAGAAUUUGAGGAUAAGGUGGAGAAAAUCAAUCCCAAGUUGAAGGAUGUUGAAAUAACUGUCGAAAAUCUGAAGCCUCAAUUGAUGGAAGUCGAGAAUACAGCAACGACAUCACACAAAGAAAUCUUUGAAAAAUUAUGGCCUGCAAUUCAAGAACUUUUAGAAAGCAAAAAGUUUGUGGAACCCAAAUUGAAAGACUUGGAACCCAAGCUCAAGGAAGUCGAAGAUAGAGCUACUACUUCACAAGAUGAGAUCUUUAACAAACUCUGGCCUCAUAUCAAUGGAAUGAACACCAAGUAUGAUGAGCAAUUCAUUUUAAAUAUCAAGAACAUUGAGAGUAAGUACGAUACUGAGCUCUUUGAAAAACUUUGGCCUUUCAUCAAGGAGAUGGAUAAUGAAUUCAAGAAUGAGAUCCAUAAGAACCUGGCUCCCAAAUUGAAGGAUCUUGAACCUAAAUUAAAUGAUGUUCAAGAUAAGGUAGAAAAAUUCACCCCCAUGAUGAAGAACGUAGAACAAAAGAUUGAUGAUCUCAAUCCUAAACUUAAAGAAUUUGAGGAUAAGGUGGAGAAAAUCAAUCCCAAGUUGAAGGAUGUUGAAAUAACUGUCGAAAAUCUGAAGCCUCAAUUGAUGGAAGUCGAGAAUACAGCAACGACAUCACACAAAGAAAUCUUUGAAAAAUUAUGGCCUGCAAUUCAAGAACUUUUAGAAAGCAAAAAGUUUGUGGAACCCAAAUUGAAAGACUUGGAACCCAAGCUCAAGGAAGUCGAAGAUAGAGCUACUACUUCACAAGAUGAGAUCUUUAACAAACUCUGGCCUCAUAUCAAUGGAAUGAACACCAAGUAUGAUGAGCAAUUCAUUUUAAAUAUCAAGAACAUUGAGAGUAAGUACGAUACUGAGCUCUUUGAAAAACUUUGGCCUUUCAUCAAGGAGAUGGAUAAUGAAUUCAAGAAUGAGAUCCAUAAGAACCUGGCUCCCAAAUUGAAGGAUCUUGAACCUAAAUUAAAUGAUGUUCAAGAUAAGGUAGAAAAAUUCACCCCCAUGAUGAAGAACGUAGAACAAAAGAUUGAUGAUCUCAAUCCUAAACUUAAAGAAUUUGAGGAUAAGGUCGAGAAAAUCAAUCCCAAAUUAAUUGAUGUUGAAAAGAAGGUUGAUAUUAUCGAACCCAAGCUGAAGGAUGUUGAAAAUAAGGCUCAAGAUUCUCACAAUGAGAUUGUCAACAAAUUGUGGCCUACAAUCAAUAAUAUUGAUAUUAAAUAUACUGAAGAAAUUAUUCCUCAGGUUCAAUCUGUUGAAAAUAAUUACAAGAACGAAUUGAAUGAGAAUAUAUGGCCUGUGAUAAGAGAACUUCUGAAAAUGAAAGAGUUUGUGGAACCCAAGCUCAAGGAAGUUGAAGAUAGAGCUACUACUUCACAAGAUGAGAUCUUUAAUAAACUCUGGCCUCAUAUCAAUAUAAUGAACACCAAGUAUGAUGAGCAAUUCAUUGUAAAUAUCAAGAACAUUGAGAGUAAGUACGAUACUGAGCUCUUUGAAAAACUUUGGCCUUUCAUCAAGGAGAUGGAUAAUGAAUUCAAGAAUGAGAUCCAUAAGAACCUGGCUCCCAAAUUGAAGGAUCUUGAACCUAAAUUAAAUGAUGUUCAAGAUAAGGUAGAAAAAUUCACCCCCAUGAUGAAGAACGUAGAACAGAAGAUUGAUGAUCUCAACCCUAAACUGAAAGAAUUUGAGGAUAAGGUGGAGAAAAUCAAUCCCAAGUUGAAGGAUGUUGAAAUAACUGUCGAAAAUCUGAAGCCUCAAUUGAUGGAAGUCGAGAAUACAGCAACGACAUCACACAAAGAAAUCUUUGAAAAAUUAUGGCCUGCAAUUCAAGAACUUUUAGAAAGCAAAAAGUUUGUGGAACCCAAAUUGAAAGACUUGGAACCCAAGCUCAAGGAAGUCGAAGAUAGAGCUACUACUUCACAAGAUGAGAUCUUUAAUAAACUCUGGCCUCAUAUCAAUAUAAUGAACACCAAGUAUGAUGAGCAAUUCAUUGUAAAUAUCAAGAACAUUGAGAGUAAGUACGAUACUGAGCUCUUUGAAAAACUUUGGCCUUUCAUCAAGGAGAUGGAUAAUGAAUUCAAGAAUGAGAUCCAUAAGAACCUGGCUCCCAAAUUGAAGGAUCUUGAACCUAAAUUAAAUGAUGUUCAAGAUAAGGUAGAAAAAUUCACCCCCAUGAUGAAGAACGUAGAACAGAAGAUUGAUGAUCUCAACCCUAAACUGAAAGAAUUUGAGGAUAAGGUGGAGAAAAUCAAUCCCAAGUUGAAGGAUGUUGAAAUAACUGUCGAAAAUCUGAAGCCUCAAUUGAUGGAAGUCGAGAAUACAGCAACGACAUCACACAAAGAAAUCUUUGAAAAAUUAUGGCCUGCAAUUCAAGAACUUUUAGAAAGCAAAAAGUUUGUGGAACCCAAAUUGAAAGACUUGGAACCCAAGCUCAAGGAAGUCGAAGAUAGAGCUACUACUUCACAAGAUGAGAUCUUUAACAAGCUCUGGCCUCAUAUCAAUGGAAUGAACACCAAGUAUGAUGAGCAAUUCAUUUUAAAUAUCAAGAACAUUGAGAGUAAGUACGAUACUGAGCUCUUUGAAAAACUUUGGCCUUUCAUCAAGGAAAUGGAAAGUGAUAUCAAAAAUGAGAUCCAUAAGAAUUUAUUUCCAAAACUUGUGGAUGUUGAGUCUAAGACUGUCAACUUUUAUUCUGAAAUCCAUGACAAGAUUGUACCUUCUAUCAAUGAUAUUCAAUUGAAGUACAAUGAAGAGUUGAUUCCUCGUAUUCAAUCGUUUGAAAAUAAAUAUGUUUUAGAAGUUGACGAGAAGUUGUGGCCUCAUGUUAAUAAAAUGCAUGAUAAAAUAUAUGAAGAUAUGGAUAGUAAGUUUUCUCCACUUGUACAUGAAUUAAGGGAAAUUGAACCCAUUGUUCGUGAACUUGAAUCUCAAAUUUUAAUAUCAAGGGAGAAAGUUAAUUCAAUUUCUCCAAAGAUUGAUGAAAUCCAAGAAAUUAUUUCUAAUUCUCAAAAUGAAAUUAAUUCUAAGAUAUGGCCAGAAAUUAAUAGUUUGCAAUCUUCAUUAAAUAUCCUUGAUCCUGAUGUUACUCAAAUAAAGGAGAAGUUAGUCGACACUCAAAAUAUUGUCAAUAACGAAAUUUGGCCGCAUAUUGAUAAACUUAGUUUAACUCAAACUGAACAAUUUAACAUUUCUGUGCAGAAUAUUGAAAGUAAGUAUGAUAUUGAAAUUCACGAAAAACUUUGGCCAUUUAUUAAAGAUAUGGAUAAGGAUUUGAAACUUGAACUUCAAGAAAAUGUAUGGCCUGCCAUUGAUGAUCUCCGAUUGGUUAAACCAUUUAUAUCUGAAUCAACAUCACAAUUUAAUUUGAUUAAUGAAGAAAUAGAAGUUUUGAAGAAAAUAACAGAUAAUUCUACUAAUGAAAUCUCCAAUAAGAUUUGGCCCAAAAUCACACAAAUAAGCGUUGAGCAAAAUGAGCAAGUCUCUGUAAACAUCCAAAAUAUUGAGAACAAGUUUAACAUUGAAAUCAAUGACAAAUUAUGGCCUUAUGUUCAAGAAAUGAAUACUUUCUUGAAAGACGAAGUAGAAGGUAAAUUGAUACCACAUGUUCAAGAAUUGGAUGAUUUGAGACCUCAGCUCAAUGAUGUUAGGGAGACAGUUAAUGAUGUCAAUGCUAAGGCAGAAAAAUCUCUUGAUGAAAUUUUCAACUCUCUUUGGCCUCAUGUCAAGAGUUUGAAUAUCAAAUUAUCUGAUGAUAUCAUUCAAAAUAUUAAGAAUCUUGAAAUUAAGUUUGACACCGAAAUUUUUAAAAAAAUGUGGCCAUUUAUUAAUGAUAUGGAUCGAGAUAUUAAAAAGGAGAUACAUGAAGGUAUGUGGCCCAGUAUGAAGGAAUUACAAGAAUAUAUUCCAGUCAUAAAAGAAAUGGAAACUAAAUUAACAUCAGUUACAUCUCAGCUUGAAACUGUGGAAUUAAAAUCUGAAAAAUCUCAUUAUGAAAUUGUUGAAUAUUUGCGUCCUAACGUUGAAACUGUAACCAUGAGAAUCGAUUCUGAAGUAAUACCUAAAGUAAAGGAUGUGGAAACUAUAUUAUCACUUGAAAUAUUUGAAAAGGUUUGGCCAUUUAUCAGAGAACUUGACGAUAGAGUUACAAAGGAUUUGUAUGAAAAGUUGUGGCCUCAGGUAAACGAAAUUGUACCAAAGAUCAAGGAUGUUCAUGCCCGUGUUGCAUUUGCAGAUCCAGGGGAUCUCAAAAACAAAAUUGAAAGUAUCAAUAUUAGUAUUGAUGAUAGAUUCCAAGAAAUAUAUCCCAAGAUCAAGGACAUGACUGAUAAGAUAUCAUUUCUUGAGCCCGUUGCUUAUGGUACUGCUGAAAAGCUUGAUAUCUUUGUACCAAAACUUGAUACUUUAGAAUUGAGAAUUGAUGAAAGAACGUCCAAAACUGUUCAAGAAGUUAAUUUGGUGGUAAAUGAAAGAUUUGGCCUACUUGAACCAGGCUUAGCCAAAUUUGAUCAACGUCUCACAAUAUUAGAGCCACGCGUAUCCGAAACGAUAGAAAAACUCUCAAUAAUGGAACCUAGAAGUUCAGAACUAGGAGAAAAAUUGACUUUCCUAGAAAAACAAAACUUAGUUCUUCGUCUUUUAGAGAUUGAAACUAAGAUGUCAGCCAUGGAACCUAAAUCUGAUGACUUAGAAUAUAGAUUAGCAGAUAUUGAACCUCAACUCCUCGAUUUAUCUAAACUUGUAAAGGAAAAUGUUGAGCCACUUUCUUCAGAACUUGAAAAACAUAUUCAGAAUAAUGUGGACCCUACUCUUAAACGACUUGAAUCAGAGUUUAAUGAAAUGAUUUUAAGCCAUACCUCAUUUAAACAGCAGAAUGAUAUAAUUGAAUCCCAAAUUAUACCGAAGAUAAGAGAUGAAAUCAACGUAGAAAUAUCUAACAUCAAUAUUGAAAUUAAAGAGAGAAUUCUUCCAAAGAUAUUUUCUCUAGAAGAGCAACAUAUUAUGCAAAUAGAAAAAGUGCAUUAUGUUGAGGCUUUACAAGAUAGAGUAAAUCUAUUAGACGAUCAAAAACAGCGAAGUGAAGCUCUUAUCAAAGAAUCUUUAGAGGACGCUGUUAAGAAGAACAGAGAUUCAUUUGAGUCAUUGAAACAAUCAUUAAUUAUAAAAAUGGAAGAAUUAGAUAACAAUGAUAAGGACCAUUGGGACAAAUUGAAAGCUCUCGAAAUUGAUACCAUAGAAUGCAAGGAACAGCUGAUCAAGUCAAGUGUCGAUUAUAUGAAUAUUUCAAAGAUUCUAUUUGAUGAUGUUCGGCCUGAACUUGAUGUCACAUCCACUAAAUGUUCAGAGUUAUUUCAGGAACUCUAUAAAUUAACUGAACGAGUCUCAGAGAGCUCUGUAUCAGUAAAGGACGUUCAAACUUCAUCACGUGUUAUACAAGAAGACUUAAAUGAAAGAUAUAGAGAGAUAGAAAAGAGGUUAUAUAAUGAAUUGUCCCUCAACUCAGAAAAGCUUCUGACUGUUAGGAACGAUGUUCUCGAUUUCUGUGAUAAAGAAUUGUUUGUAGUGAAGGGAGAAAUCAAUGAAAAGAUCAUCAUGAUAGAUUCUUUGUGCAAGUCCAACGAGUCUCAUGUAGAAAACUUGAGAGGUCUGAAUACCAAACUUUUGGAUCAAAUGAAGGAACAACUUCAACGAGAAAUAAUAAAACAAGAGACUCUCAUCUCAGAAAUUAAAACUGAGGCAUCUGUUCGCCUUGAUACGAUUAUUCAGGAAUUGAAAGAUAGCUCUGAUAAAAUUGUGCAACUUGAUCAAGGACUUCAACAAUCCGAUGUCAAAAUCCAUUUAAUGGAACAAGAAGGAAGAGAAAGCGAAAGGAACGUCAGAGGAAUUCGUAACAUUGGUGGCCUGAGAAAUUGGAUUCGUAGAGCGUGUUGUCUGUGUCCUGGCUCAAGGCAUUUUUGUCAUUCAAAUAAUUCAACAACUUCAAGUUCCAAUACCCACCAGCAAACCAUUUCCCUAUCAUCAUCAGUCGAAUCAUUCUCACAUUAUUAUAGGAACUGAUUUCGAAGACUGCAAGAACAACGUAUGGAAUGUCAUGACUCAAAUUAGUGCUGCUUUAAGAGGAAAUACACUUGUACUUAAAUCUGAAGGACUAGCUCUAGAGCAUCAACCUGACGCUUUUGGUGUUUACAGACUAAUCGAUACUUUUAACAAUAGACCUGCAUAUAAGCAAGACGAGGGCGAAAACUUUAUUUAUUAUAACGGAGGAUCUAAAUCUUGGAUGGUUGGAACACGUAUUGGACAUAAUUAUGGAUGGGCUCGAGUUCCAAACAAUACUAGUCAUU
rnacentral:misc_RNA from 1 species